GACGAACCGUGCGAACGUUAUUCGGAAUCACUGGGCUUAAAGCGCGUGUAGGCGGGGUGGCACCUCCGUCGCUGAAAUCCCCCGGCUCAACCGGGGAACGGGCGCGGAUACGACCAUCCUCGAGGGACGUAGGGGGACCUGGAACUUCCGGUGGAGCGGUGAAAUGCGUUGAGAUCGGAAGGAACGCCCGUGGCGAAAGCGAGGUCCUGGACGUCUGCUGACGCUGAGACGCGAAAGCCAGGGGAGCGAACGGG
rnacentral:rRNA from 1 species